rnacentral:rRNA from 1 species
AACGAACGCUGGCGGCAUGCCUAACACAUGCAAGUCGAACGAGACCUUCGGGUCUAGUGGCGCACGGGUGCGUAACGCGUGGGAAUCUGCCCUUAGGUUCGGAAUAACUUCGGGAAACUGAAGCUAAUACCGGAUGAUGACGUAAGUCCAAAGAUUUAUCGCCUAAGGAUGAGCCCGCGUUGGAUUAGCUAGUUGGUGAGGUAAAGGCUCACCAAGGCGACGAUCCAUAGCUGGUCUGAGAGGAUGAUCAGCCACACUGGGACUGAGACACGGCCCAGACUCCUACGGGAGGCAGCAGUGGGGAAUAUUGGACAAUGGGCGAAAGCCUGAUCCAGCAAUGCCGCGUGAGUGAUGAAGGCCUUAGGGUUGUAAAGCUCUUUUACCCGGGAUGAUAAUGACAGUACCGGGAGAAUAAGCUCCGGCUAACUCCGUGCCAGCAGCCGCGGUAAUGUGACUACUG